GUCUCAAUGCUGCUAGAAUGGUUCCCCUCAUGUACCACUAUAAGAGCAAUCCAAGCCUCUCUAAUCUCCAGGAACAUGUCAAGUCAUUGAUUAAUGUUGGUGUUGGACGCGAUUAGCAUAUUUUCAAACCUUGUGUUAUGUUGUUUAUGCACAACAUAUUGAUUUUGUAAUUUAAAUUAGGCAAUAUUGUUCUCAUGGUUCUCUUGGUACUAAUUUCCCAUUUGUUUAUUGGUACUCAAACCUUGUACUUCAAUGAAAUUAUAAGCAUUGCAAUUGAACUUCUUAAUCUUACAGCUAACUGCUAUUGGACUUUCCCAUUAAGGUCAUUUACAAAAUAAUGGUGAAAGUGAAGUGUGCCAUAUGUUUCUAUCAAAAGCUUAAUAUAUCCAUUUUGGAAUUCAUCUAGAAGAAUGGUGCAUUACUAAAUUAUGAAGGAAAAUGCCUAAAUGGUGCCACAUGACUAAAAUGAAUCUUAUACCAUGGUGCCACUGUAAUGUUCAGACUAGCAGUGUUACUUGGUUGUUAUUUUUACUGUCAGACAAUUUUUGUGUAAAAUACCUUCUAAGAAAAAAAGAAACAGUUCUUGUGCCACAUGACUAAAAUGAAUCUUAUACCAUGUUGUCAAGGUGACUAAAGUACAUGACACUACAUUUUAAAGGUAUGGUAAGAGUUUGUGACUGUCAUCACAUUGCUGAGAUCCAUUUAAUCAGUGCAAGUCAAUUAUUCAAUGAUUGUAAUGUUACUUAUUUAGAUAUCGAGGCAAACUUUCAAUUAAAACUAAUUAUGAGAACAAUUGUAUUUUUCUGAUUGUGUUUACGAUCAUUGCCGGAUGGACGUUAAGAGUGGUCGGGUCAAGGUUCAUAGAAAACUCAUAACUUCACGUGAAGCACAAGAAAAUAUGCCAUGUUUGUAUAGGAUGCCAUUGUUUACUCAUGUUUCUGUACAUGAAAGCAUAAAAGUUUCAUUUCAAAAUAUUAUAUUUCAUUCUAUAAUGAUUUGAGUUUACAACAAUAUAUAUAUAUAUAUAUAUAUAUAUAUAUAUUUUGAAUCGGCUUAUAUAUAUUCCACCAAAAUCAUAAAAGAUGUACAAGAUGGGGAGAAGGAAAGGAAUUGCAAUUACAAAGGGUCUGAUGUAGCAGUGACCCCAAAUACAUGAAACCAAGCUUUUAUAGGAUAUGUGGUUGGCUAGCAUUGUGUUAUGAUGGUUAGUGACUUCUUUAUAUUUUCCUGAUAAAUAAUUCAUUAAUGAAAUUGAAUUCGUUAACAAGUUUGGUUUAUUUUGACACCAGAUUAAAGCAAAUGGAAAGUACAAGAGCUAUGUGCGCAGUUACUAAUCCUGAUAGAGCAAGACUCUCUAUGGCAACAUUUCAUGAUCCAGCCAAGACAGUCAAGAUUUCCCCUGUUUCUGAACUAAUCAAUGAUUCAUCACCGGCUAAAAGAAGGUGGUGGGUGCACAUGUGACCCAUUUAAGUGCCAAAACUGGGGAUGCUCUUAUUCUCUCAGGGCAAAACAUGAUCUUUCUGAAAAGGAAGAAGGGUAAUGGCGGAAGUGUUAGAGAAGUUGAGGGGUGGCGAUGGCAAGUGGCCACGAAGAAUCAUCAGUUAAAAAUUGUUCUGGAAAGAGAAGUUUAUCAGAAACUGCUAAUGUUGAUUUGAAAUAAUCUUUCUCCAAUAAACGAUUAUGUUUCAUCUUCUUCAAAUAUAUUUUCUUUAGUCGAAAACAAAGGGCAAGACAGUGGUAGUGAAAGAAAGAAAAUUAAAACUUCAAAGCUUUUGUUUUUAAGUGUUUUAAUUGACGAGCUUGAGCUGGUGUGGAGAGAAUGGAAGAUAUGACGAGUUGAUCUUGAAGAAGAAGAAGAUUGAAGCAAAUUUGGGAGAAGCAAAAAGUUUUUUUUUUUCUCUUUUCAUGGAUUUAUUAAGGGCAAAAAGGUCCAUUCAAGUGUUAUUUGCUGACUCAUCCUCAUUAUUUCCUAAUCAAUGUGUGCCACAUCAGCAAUCACAGUCCAUAUCAGCGAGAAAAUGAGAUUAAGGAUCAAAAUUAAAGUGAUUAGUAAUUGCAGUGCUAUAUGAAAAGAUUAGUUAGUCCAAGGACGAAAACUCAAAUGAUACAUAUUUGCCGGAAAGAAUUACAUAAAUAAGUCAAAUUUGCAUGGACUAAAAGCAAAACAACAAAGACCAAAAAAAAAAA
rnacentral:lncRNA from 1 species